rnacentral:rRNA from 1 species
GACGAACGCUGGCGGCGUGCUUAACACAUGCAAGUCGAGCGGUAAGGCCCUUUCGGGGGUACACGAGCGGCGUAACGGGUGAGUAACACGUGGGUGACCUGCCCUUAGCUCUGGGAUAAGCCUGGGGAAACUGGGUCUAAUACCGGAUAUGACUCCAUGACGCAUGUUGUGGGGUGGAAAGCCUUGUGCGGCUAGGGAUGGGCCCGGCGGCCUAUCAGCUUGUUGGUGGGGU